ensembl:lncRNA
GAUGAGCUACACUUUUCCUAAUAGUUUGGAGAAGAAGUAGCCAGGAUCAUUUCACCAGAACUAGGAGGUGGCUGAAGUGUUUUCACCAGACUGAAUCUCAAGAAAAAUACCUUUUCAACAAACAUGGAAAUUUUUGCUAGCCAAAGCAUGUAACCUGGAAAAAAAACCUGGGAACUUCCUGGGCUUACUGUGUCCUGGACAAGCCUGAGAAGCUGCAAGCCAACUUCUCCCUUAAGCAUUGCCAUGUGCUCUUCCACACUGCUCCACCCACUUGUGCCAAAAACCAGUCCAAUUACCUAUCCCCUGGCAAGCCAUGUCUUAUCAUUUCCUCAAGCUUAGUGCUUACAGACUGUUCCCAUUGCUGUCUAUCAAUCCAGCAGCCAGCUGACCUUUCUGUCAAACACUGCAGAGAGUUUUCUCCAAACCACAUCUGCCCAAUUUGUCCAAUUCAUCCAUUGCUGUGGGGUUCAUGCAUGGCCCAUGAGCUCUCUGGGGCUGGACCUGCCUUCUACAGCACCUGGCCAGGGAGCUCCUGGCCCCACAGGGCUGCAGAUUCCUGGGAUUCCCAGGGGCUCUUCUAAUAUCAAUUAAAAAA